AUUGAACGCUGGCGGCAUGCUUUACACAUGCAAGUCGAACGGUAACAGGCCUUCGGGUGCUGACGAGUGGCGGACGGGUGCGUAAUGCAUCGGAACGUACCCAGAGGUGGGGGAUAACGCAGCGAAAGCUGUGCUAAUACCGCAUGUGAUCUGAGGAUGAAAGCGGGGGACCGAGCAGCAAUGUUUGGCCUCGCGCCUUUGGAGCGGCCGAUGUCGGAUUAGCUAGUUGGUGGGGUAAAGGCCUUCCAAGGCGACGCUCCGUAGCUGGUCUGAGCGGACGACCAGCCACACUGGGACUGAGACACGGCCCAGACUCCUACGGGAGGCAGCAGUGGGGAAUUUUGGACAAUGGGCGCAAGCCUGAUCCAGCAAUGCCGCGUGCGGGAAGAAGGCCUUCGGGUUGUAAACCGCUUUUGGCAGGAACGAAACGGUGUCCGCUAAUACCGGGCGCUAAUGACGGUACCUGCAGAAUAAGCACCGGCUAACUACGUG
rnacentral:rRNA from 1 species